GAUGAACGCUGGCGGCGUGCCUAAUACAUGCAAGUCGAGCGAAUGGAUUAAGAGCUUGCUCUUAUGAAGUUAGCGGCGGACGGGUGAGUAACACGUGGGUAACCUGCCCAUAAGACUGGGAUAACUCCGGGAAACCGGGGCUAAUACCGGAUAACAUUUUGAACCGCCUGGUUCGAAAUUGAAAGGCGGCUUCGGCUGUCACUUAUGGAUGGACCCGCGUCGCAUUAGCUAGUUGGUGAGGUAACGGCUCACCAAGGCAACGAUGCGUAGCCGACCUGAGAGGGUGAUCGGCCACACUGGGACUGAGACACGGCCCAGACUCCUACGGGAGGCAGCAGUAGGGAAUCUUCCGCAAUGGACGAAAGUCUGACGGGGCAACGCCGCGUGAGUGAUGAAGGCUUUCGGGUCAUAAAACUCUGUUGUUAGGGAAGAACAAGUGCUAGUUGAAUAAGCUGGCACCUUGACGGUACCUAACCAGAAAGCCACGGCUAACUACGUGCCAGCAGCCGCAGUAA
rnacentral:rRNA from 1 species